rnacentral:rRNA from 1 species
UACGUAGGGUGCAAGCGUUAAUCGGAAUUACUGGGCGUAAAGGGCGCGUAGGCGGCGUGACAAGUCACUUGUGAAAUCUCUGAGCUUAACUCAGAACGGCCAAGUGAAACUGUUGUGCUAGAGUGCAGAAGGGGCAAUCGGAAUUCUUGGUGUGGCGGUGAAAUGCGUAGAUAUCUGGAGGAACACCGGUGGCGAAGGCGGCAUCCUGGACCGGCAUUGACGCUGAGGAGCGAAAGCCAGGGGAGCAAACGGG